rnacentral:lncRNA from 1 species
CUCCUUAUGGUUGAUAUAAUCUGGCCAGGAUGAGCUUCAAGAAGUCCCCUUAGCAGAGAAAUAUUCAUUGUCUUCAAGUUUGUAGCCUUCUUCAUCGAAAACUCCAUCACCUCUAUUUCUUCAUCACUUCCUCUAAAAAACUUCAUGGUGAGUUCUAACAAAUGAUCUCUCAAGCACUCGUGACCACCUCUCUCUACACAUAUUUCAUAGUUGUUCCCAAAUUGGGUUUCUUUUUAAAGAAAAGUGAA